UGCUCAUUCUGCACUUCGAAUUAGGUGACGAAAGUCGAGUCGAAUGUGUCAUCCGAUUCCCGUAGUCGAAUGCGGUGAGAAGAGUCGAUGCGAGUGAACACCGAUGAACUCUCACCGCAUUCUCAUAGUCGAUUUUGAUCGACAAACGUCGCUUUCAAGUGACGUUUGCGAGUGAGAAUAGUCGCAACCUCCAGGGGUGUCGAGAGAGAUCGAGUGUUGUUAAAAACAAAUUGAAAUACAAGGUUUUCGAACAAGCGCCGGCUGCGGUACCAAACCUGCAGCAUCAAGUAAUCAACGCAACGGGAAUCAAAUUUCGCACAUCGAGGAUGGCAACGGAUUACUGAUGGAGCCGGUAAAGAUGAGCUGACCGGAAAGGCCCAUAAGCUACACAAUUUCUACGUCGUGAACUAUCUCAACUUAGAGACAGAACUUGUUAACGAAAAUAUCGAACGACUGUGGCCUAACAUCGAUAAACUACGGCUACUGUCGGUGGCUAUGGUCGGUGGCCUACUUCAUCGAGGGCAAGGCCGAGCAAGGAGCUACCGUCUAAGAGUGUCCACUUUCGUCAUCCUGCGAACUGGCAUCCGGCACAUUACCUACGUCCACUGAUUGCUGCGGACAGUGUUCUGUGACCUGUGUUCUGAGCAACGACCCGAAUAGCGAUUCGGUUGCCACCGAAGGGAAGCGUAUAAAACAGGCACUGGGCACUUCGCAUCCGAAAAGAGCCGGACGCCGGUUUCCGGAUGUCGUCCGAUGACGACGACGACGACGGAACGAAAAGCUCUCAUCUUAUCAAAGCCAUCCCGAUAACAAUGCUUGCUGUACCGGAAGGGCAUCCAAGUGGCGAAAGGUAUAUGCCCGGUGAAGCAACUCAAGUGAAUCAUGACGAUUAUCGGACCAGCGGGAAAGGCUGUAAAAUCGGUAUCUAGAAGUUCGUGAACGUCUGCUUGUGGAAGCUGCUUAUGCGCUUCACAAAUCUCAAUGGAUAUGAUGCCACGAUGUUUAUGCGGAGUGUAAUUUCAGCAAAUCAAUUUCAAAAAUAUAAUCUUGAAUAAAUUUAAUCAAGUUUUAA